rnacentral:rRNA from 1 species
UACAGAGGGUGCAAGCGUUAAUCGGAAUUACUGGGCGGAAAGCGUGCGUAGACGGUUAUGUAAGUCGGGUGUGAAAGCCCCGGGCUCAACCUGGGAAUGCCAUUCGAGACUGCAUAGCUAGGGUGCGGAAGAGGGAAGCGGAAUUUCCGGUGUAGCGGUGAAAUGCGUAGAUAUCGGAAGGAACACCAGUGGCGAAAGCGGCUUCCUGGUCCAGCACCGACGUUCAGGCACGAAAGCGUGGGGAGCAAACAGG